AGGUACGCUCAGCGCGGUCGGACAUCGCGCACUGUGUGCAAAGGCAUAAGCGUGCUUGACUGCAAGAUCGACGGAUCAAGCAGGUAGGAAACUAGGACUUAGUGAUCCGGUGGUUCUGUAUGGAAGGGCCAUCGCUCAACGGAUAAAAGGUACUCCGGGGAUAACAGGCUGAUACCGCCCAAGAGUUCAUAUCGACGGCGGUGUUUGGCACCUCGAUGUCGGCUCAUCACAUCCUGGGGCUGUAGUCGGUCCCAAGGGUAUGGCUGUUCGCCAUUUAAAGUGGUACGCGAGCUGGGUUCAGAACGUCGUGAGACAGUUCGGUCCCUAUCUGCCAUGGGCGUUGGAGAUUUGAGAGGGGCUGCUCCUAGUACGAGAGGACCGGAGUGGACGAAUCACUGGUGUUCGGGUUGUCAUGCCAAUGGCAUUGCCCGGUAGCUAAA
rnacentral:rRNA from 1 species